GGCUGGUGGAGUCAAAAUCGGUUAUUUUUGUUUUAUUCCUUUCUUUUGGUUUUGUGAAUAGACAUCAUUCUUUCUUUUAUUUAUUUAUUUUCCGUUAGGGGAAAAGGGGAUUAAGGUUCUUUUCGUUUUUUAUUUCGUUGGGGGAUUAGGGGGGAGAUGGAGAGGAUGCGACGCGAGAGAGGGUGAAGCACAGAGUCUUCGUGUGCGAUCCAAAAGUGGAGACAACGGUGAUGGAGGGUCGAUUCGAGAAGUAGGAGGAAGUGUUAAGAACCAAGCGCAAUUUUUUUAGAAUGAACGAGAAGGGCUUUGUGUUUCUUGGGGUUUUGGGCAAACGUGGGGAGUGACUAUCCUAAUGGUUGACGAGGUUUCAAACCAGCAUGUAAUUAAUUGAUUUCAAACUGCUAUGACUCGUUCUAACAUGUGUGAGAUACUUCAUGUCCUUGAAUACCUCGGGUUGGGUGGUUAUGUGUGAGGAGUGAUGGUCUAAGGAUAGUAGUUGUGGGCAAGGUUGGAGUUGUGUUAGAGAAUGGUAGUGAGUGGAGUUCGAACCUCAAAAUAUCUUGAGUGUUACUCUUGUUAUUGCGCAAGAGCAAAAGAGUGAUUGAUGGUGAAGUUUGGUAAUAUAUGGGGAAUUUAAGGGUUCUCUGCGAUGUAGUGGAAAGAGGUCUUUUGUGCCGGUGCAUGGCACUGGAAGAGGAUGAGUUAAAAAAGAGCGGAAAUGGUUUUUCGUGAAUAUUGUUUUUCUUAGUGAGAGAGACACAAUGUUGAAUCAAACAUGCGGUGUAGUGGUGGUUAUGAUUCUUUAGAAUGUCGUCUUGCCAUACUUCGUUAAUUUAGGAUUGUACUUUUCCUCUUUCAAGAGAUAGAAUGGUAGUCAUAUUUCUUCUUCUGAGGGGUAGAAAGGUUGGAUCUCUUCGUCUUUAAAAGGCGGUGGAAGAGAUGAAUCUCUUCGUUUAUGAUGGGCGGUAGAAGGGACUGGAAUUCAAGUGCUUUCUUUUCCUCUUGCGAUGGGGUAGAAAAUGAUUGAUGUCUCGCUCGUAGGAUUCCGGCUCAUGCUGAGUUUAGGAACAGGAGAGAUAAGUCCGAAGUUGCGGUGAAGGACCACUCGAAUUAUUCUGUUUUGGUAAACAGGGUGCGGGAAAGUUUGGAAGAAGACAUUCGUUUAUAAAGAUGGUUGGUAUUGACACAGGUUUUCUGUAAUGGAAGGGUUGUGUGGAACUAAUGGGUUGAUCAUGAUUCCUUAUAAAGAAAUGUAUGGGUUGUCAA